CAGAAAGAUCCAUACACUUGCACACAAGUUAUUGUCCUGAAACUAGAAAAAUGCGUUUUUUUUUGCCCCUUUUUGGCCCCUAAUUCCUAAAAUUUUGAGGCAAUUACCCCCAAAAUCAAUCCCAGCCUUCCCUUUUAGAUAUGGAACCUUGUGGUACAAUGUCAAAGAGAUCCAUACACUAACACACAAGUUAUGUCUGGAAGUUACAAAAAUGCUUAUUUUUGGCCCCUAAUUCCUUAACAGUUGGUACCAUAACCCCAAAAAUCAAUCCCAACCUUCCUUUUGUUGUAUUGAACCUUAUGGUAAAAUCUCAUAGAGAUCCAUUCACUUAAACUAAAGUUAGAGUGCGAAAACCAAUGUGUCUUCGGAUGAAGACGACGACGCCAACAUCAUACCAAUAUACGACCGCAAAAAUUUUUUGCGGUCGUAUAAAAAUUACUUGAUAUUUAAAAGAAAAUAAAAAUUUUGCAAUUUUUCCAUUUAUAAAGGGGCAUAACUCUAGAACGGUUAAAGUGACGCCACCAAAAUUCAAACUUGAUCUGUGUUUUGUGGUAAUAAGCAUUGUGUAUAAGUUUCAAAACAUUUGGUUGAGGCAAA